CGAGAGAUGAGGAGCUUGCUCUUCAAAUCGAGUGGCGAACGGGUGAGUAACGCGUGAGGAACCUGCCUCAAAGAGGGGGACAACAGUUGGAAACGACUGCUAAUACCGCAUAAGCCCACGGCUCGGCAUCGAGCAGAGGGAAAAGGAGUAAUCCGCUUUGAGAUGGCCUCGCGUCCGAUUAGCUAGUUGGUGAGGUAACGGCCCACCAAGGCGACGAUCGGUAGCCGGACUGAGAGGUUGAACGGCCACAUUGGGACUGAGACACGGCCCAGACUCCUACGGGAGGCAGCAGUGGGGAAUAUUGCACAAUGGGGGAAACCCUGAUGCAGCGACGCCGCGUGGAGGAAGAAGGUCUUCGGAUUGUAAACUCCUGCUGUUGAGGAAGAUAAUGACGGUACUCAACAAGGAAGUGACGGCUAACUACGUGCCAGCAGCCGCGGUAAAACGUAGGUCACAAGCGUUGUCCGGAAUUACUGGGUGUAAAGGGAGCGCAGGCGGGAGAAC
rnacentral:rRNA from 1 species